rnacentral:rRNA from 1 species
AUGAUGCGGCUCAAGAGCAAGUGUGCCAGCCUCAACGAAAACACCACCCUUGUGGACAUGGACCCCGGCAGCUUUAAGACCUUCAACACCGACUACUUCAAGUUAGUGAGCAAGCGGAGGGGCCUAUUCCACUCCGACGGCGCCCUCCUCACCGACCCUUUCACCUGUGCCUACGUCCAGCACCAUGCUACCGGCGCCUUCAAGGACGAGUUCUUCGCCAACUUCGCCACCUCCAUGAUCAAGCUGGGCAACACCAACCCGCUCACCGGAAUCCAAGGUGAGAUCAGGAAGAAGUGCAGCAUGGUCAACCAUUAA